rnacentral:rRNA from 1 species
CAUAUCAAUAAGCGGAGGAAAAGAAACCAACAGGGAUUGCCCUAGUAACGGCGAGUGAAGCGGCAACAGCUCAAAUUUGAAAGCUAGCCUUCGGGUUCGCAUUGUAAUUUGUAGAGGAUGAUUUGGGGAAGCCGCCUGUCUAAGUUCCUUGGAACAGGACGUCAUAGAGGGUGAGAAUCCCGUAUGUGACAGGAAAUGGCACCCUAUGUAAAUCUCCUUCGACGAGUCGAGUUGUUUGGGAAUGCAGCUCUAAAUGGGAGGUAAAUUUCUUCUAAAGCUAAAUAUUGGCGAGAGACCGAUAGCGCACAAGUAGAGUGAUCGAAAGAUGAAAAGCACUUUGGAAAGAGAGUUAAAAAGCACGUGAAAUUGUUGAAAGGGAAGCGCUUGCAAUCAGACUUGUUUAAACUGUUCGGCCGGUCUUCUGACCGGUUUACUCAGUUUGGACAGGCCAGCAUCAGUUUCGGCGGCCGGAUAAAGGCUCUGGGAAUGUGGCCUCCACUUCGGUGGAGGUGUUAUAGCCCAGGGUGUAAUACGGCCAGCCGGGACUGAGGUCCGCGCUUCGGCUAGGAUGCUGGCGUAAUGGUUGUAAGCGACCCGUCUUGAAACACGGACCAAGGAGUCUAACAUCUAUGCGAGUGUUCGGGUGUCAAACCCCUGCGCGUAAUGAAAGUGAACGGAGGUGGGAACCCGCAAGGGUGCACCAUCGACCGAUCCUGAUGUCUUCGGAUGGAUUUGAGUAAGAGCAUAGCUGUUGGGACCCGAAAGAUGGUGAACUAUGCCUGAAUAGGGUGAAGCCAGAGGAAACUCUGGUGGAGGCUCGCAGCGGUUCUGACGUGCAAAUCGAUCGUCAAAUUUGGGUAUAGGGGCGAAAGACUAAUCGAACCAUCUAGUAGCUGGUUCUGC